ACACCAGAGCACCGCGCUGCUGAAUUGAGCUCUUUUGCUUUUCGCUCUUUUUUCUGUUUAUUUAAACUGCGAUUUCGAUUUGAAUUUGUUCGUUCAGGUCCAGGAGGAAGUGAACGUCCUGAACGACAGCUCUGUUCAGUGUUGCUGUCCCUGUCCGCGAUACGCGCGGCUCUCUCUCGUGCACACGCCAGUCAUCAGCUGCUCAGUUCAGUUUCCCGCAGCGCUGGGCUGAAGCCAACUUGAUGUGUUGAAUGCUCGGAGCACGUUAUAAAACGUAUUCUUAAAAUACACAUUUCUGUUUUAAAAAAUGGUCAUAUUAAAUCAUAGCAUAACACAUAAGUAGGUACAAAAAUAAUCAGUGAUGCAUGCGACCCUUUUGGUCUCAGUGUAGCUCCCUGCUUUACCAUGUUAUGCAACGCUGAGCAAUCGCUGCGACGUUCAGAGAAAUCUCACAAGCAUAUAUAAACACUCAUUUUCAUGUGUAGGCUAUAAUAUAUUCUUCUAAUUGUUUUGUGCCGUUUCGCUGCAGUGUUUUAAUGUGAAAGGCUGUAAAUGUGUACUUCAAGUGUUCAGAGAAAUACAUCGCGAGCUCGCUGUGACGUUCAGCAUGAUGAUUCAGUUAGAAACCAGCUAAGACCAGCGUGACAGUGGCCAAAACUACUUUGAAACCAUAUUAUUCUAAUUGUUUUGUGCCGUUUCGCUGCAGUGUUUUAAUGUGAAAGGCUGUAAAUUCUCUGUGGACUUCAAGUGUUCAGAGAAAUACAUCGCCAGCUCGCGAGCAGUUGGCUGCCGCGAAUAUAUCAUGUUAUUACUUUAAACAGUUCAGAAACAUCUCAAUUUAGCUCUUGGUGUGUUCUAACGUGUGGAUUGCAUGCAAUCGCGUUUUUAAAAGGUCUUAAAUAAGAAUAAAUUCGCUUGUUGUCGGCUCCGUGUAGACAGCCUGAGCUGAGCAGCAGCGAUUCUUCUCUCGUCUGACUGCUCUCCUCCCCUAAAUCUCAUUGCAACUGUAGGGGCGCAAUUUUUCUUUUUUUUUUUUACAUUUAAAAAUUAAUAAUAAAAAAACUUUAAGUCUGAUCACUCUGAAAAGAUAUAGCACACACCACCCCUCUAUCCCGCAGGUGUCUGCCGAGUUUGGGGCUUGUGGCUUUAAAGCCCUAGGAGGAGUAGCGUUCAGAAUUUUUUUCUCAGAAGAAUAAUAAUAAUAAAAAUAAAAAUAAAAAUA
rnacentral:lncRNA from 1 species